UGGGGAAUUUUGGACAAUAGGCGAAAGCCUGAUCCAGCAAUGCCGCGUGUGUGAAGAAGGCCUUCGGGUUGUAAAGCACUUUUGUCCGGAAAGAAAUCCUUGGCUCUAAUACAGUCGGGGGAUGACGGUACCGGAAGAAUAAGCACCGGCUAACUACGUGCCAGCAGCCGCGGUAAUACGUAGGGUGCAAGCGUUAAUCGGAAUUACUGGGCGUAAAGCGUGCGCAGGCGGUUUGCUAAGACCGAUGUGAAAUCCCCGGGCUCAACCUGGGAACUGCAUUGGUGACUGGCAGGCUAGAGUAUGGCAGAGGGGGGUAGAAUUCCACGUGUAGCAGUGAAAUGCGUAGAGAUGUGGAGGAAUACCGAUGGCGAAGGCAGCCCCCUGGGCCAAUACUGACGCUCAUGCACGAAAGCGUGGGGAGCAAACAGGAUUAGAUACCCUGGUAGUCCACGCCCUAAACGAUGUCAACUAGUUGUUGGGGAUUCAUUUCCUUAGUAACGUAGCUAACGCGUGAAGUUGACCGCCUGGGGAGUACGGUCGCAAGAUUAAAACUCAAAUGAAUUGACGGGGUCAUAGCUGUUUCCU
rnacentral:rRNA from 1 species